AUGAGGGGCCGAGCUUGGGACAUCUCUGCCGGAAGUGAUGUCACGCCAAGGGGACCCGCCCGCCGGAGGCGCGACUGGAGUUGUCCCACCGGGCGCUUCGGUAGCGAAGAUAAAGGUAGUCCUGUGCUGGGAUUCUUGAUGGACACUGUGCCUAAGCAUGGAGGCAACUGCAGGUUUCUGGCCAGGGUCACUCUCUGGUGAAAAUGAAAGGUCCAUGUGGAAACACCUGACUGCCACCACCUGGUUCAGGUGAGGGACCUGAGUCCUUUUUUUUCAGUCUUUCACUGGCCAUUUCCUAGUAGCCCCUUCGUAAUUGAGGGCAACUGGGGCCACUUUCUGGUGUUAACUGAAGGCGCAGGAGUGAAUGGUGAUAGCUACCUUGCCCAGAAGAGGAAAGGACUCCUUUCUGUUUUUUCCAGUUAUAGUCCCUGAUCCCUAUGUGUGAUAUAAUUGGCAGUGGCAGGUCGUCCAAGGUGAAUGCACGUGUUUCAGACGACUUAGACCUUUUUUCCUUGUGUUAAAUUCUUCCUUUCCCCUACUCUACUGGCUAAGGAUAAGUCACAGGGUUUGGGCAUGUUGUAGAUGAUCUGUGUGACUCAUGGAGGGGAUUCAUGAAAGGGAAUCUAUGUAGAACUUAAUCUUGUCCAAAUUUAGAGAAUUAAAGAAUUGUUUUAAGUGGGAUAGGAAAAAAAUCCAAAGGCUGUUCUAGAAGUAGAGGCCUUCAUCCAGGGACAAGAGGGAAAGCUCAUAGUGAGUCUUCAGUGGUGGAGAGUCAUUCCAAGGUGGUGCUGGCACCCAUCUAAGGUCGCAGAUGGUCUAAAAGGGGUCCCUGGUCAGGGUCCAGAAUUUUUCCAGAGGGAUGCUCCAGGUAAAAUUUGGGUCACCUAACGAGCCCUCCACUUUUCAAAGU
rnacentral:lncRNA from 13 species